UAAAAUUAGCUUUUAAAGUGGUUAAUAAAUAUAAAAUGACAUAAUUGAUAGUUAGUAGUUUCUUUUUUAGAGUGAGCAGUUAUUAAAUUAAAGGGUGAAAAUGAAAUAAAGUGUAAAAAGCUAUAAGCUAUAAGCUCAAACGCUACUUGAAAUAGCAUCUGAAAAAAACUAUAAGCUAGUAAAAAAAACUUGUUACCAAACAACUCUAAUUUUUUGAAACAAACUUAUAAACUCAUAUAAUAAAUUAUAAGCUAGAUUGUUUAUGUUACCAAUCACAUCCUUAAUGCAAGACACACCCGUAUGAUGCAUCAACAAAUUUUUGGUCUUUCCUUUUCCCUCUUUAUGACCAUUUACCCUUUUGUAACUCUUGUAAGCUAGUGAAGGGCCACAAAAUUUUCAUCACUUGUGGCUAUACAAAGAGUCAUCCUCUCAUGUAAAAGACAUUCAUCAUCUCUUGCAAACAUUCCAUAUUAUACUAAAUAAAGUUUUCUCUUUUUAUUUUCUUUGUUCUUAGUUAUUUGUUCUUCGUUUUAGUUUAUGCUUGUGGUUAUCGACCAUGAUCAAGAUGAG
rnacentral:lncRNA from 1 species